rnacentral:lncRNA from 1 species
UUUAAAAUUAAUUCAUAUAUUUAAAAUUUCUUUAUUAUUUAAAUUGAUCUAUAAUAAAAUUGGUUUACAAAAGAAAAUCUAAUUAAAUAAUAAGCCAAAAACUAAACAAAGCUUUAACCUAAUUACUAACUAAACGCCGCCGCACCACCACCACCUUCGUUGUCUUCUUCAUCUUCUGAUCCUCACCCGCCGCACCACCACCUCUUCGUCUUCGUCGUGUUCUUCAUGACCUUCGUCGUCGUGUUCUUCCAUGGCCUUCGUCGUUGCAUCCAGCCAUGACCUCCUCCUCCAUUCAUCGUCACCGUCCCCCUCUUCCAUUCACCGUCGUCGUCCUCCUCCAUUCGCUGUUUCUGACUAAGCCCUCGCGUCUCUGUCUUCUCUCCUUCUCCGCCUCUCUUCUUCUUCGUGCUCGGUUCCACCUCCACCACCACCGCUAUCUUCCUUUGCCAUCUCCGCACCACAGCUUCUUCAGAUCCGGCAUCGGUGAAGAGAAGACAGGCUCGGUCGCAAGACGUUGUUUAGUUCGUCAACUUCCUUUCUCUACAGAAGAAACCAACACACAACCACAAUUAGAAAGUAAAACUGAUGAGAAACACAUGAACUUUAUCAAUCUGUUAAAACCAAAAAAAAUAAAGGAUUGACAGAAGCAAGAGAUUGCCAUAAGGAGAAGAUAGAAGAGAGAUUGACAAUCUUUAGAAAGAGAAGACGAAAGAUCUGAAAAAGAAAAGGAACAGAUCUGGACCGUUAGAUUUAAUCUCAUCCAACGGAUGAAAAAAUGAUCCAUGUGCUUAAAGUUUUGGCCAAUAAGAACUCUUCGAUGUUGUUGCACACAAAAAAAAACUUUUCUUUAUUUUUUUACGAGAACUCUUGUUGUUUUGGUUAUUAACUUAUUAUACAUGUAUUUUUAUAUUUUACAUUUUAAAACAUAUGAAUUAUAUUUAAAGUUGAAACAUAUUUUAAUUAUGUUUCAACUUUCUAAAUUUUAAUUAUGCUUAUAUGCUUGUACUUAUGAUUAAAUUUAUUUAACUAAAACUUAAAAAUUAUAUCUUAGUGUUUAUGUUUAUGAGUUUAAAGUUUGGAGUAUGAAGCUUAUGAUUUAGACUUAAGAUUUUGGGCUAAAGUUUUAAAAUAGUAGAUUUAAAGAUUACACUUAAUAUUUGUGGUUAAACUUUAAAUUUAGAUUUGAAGUUUAAAUAUUAGUAGAUGUAUGGUUUAUGUUUGAAGUUAGAGUUUAGGGUAUAGAGUUUGAUUGGAGAUUUAAGGUUUGUGGUUUGAAAGUUAUAUAUCAAGAUUAAAAAAAAAAUUGAGUUUAUGAUUAAGAUUUGAAGUUACAGUAUGAAAAUAUUAGAGUUUUAAGUUGUGUUUAGAGUUUAGGGGUUAAAAACUUGUUUAGAAUUUAGGGAUUCAAAAAGCUAAAAAUAGCAUUUCAUUAUGUUUUGCUAUUAAACAUACGCUAUCAUAGCGUUUCCGAAUAUAGUACUUUUUCAUAGUGUUUCCAAAUAUACAAACGCUAUCUAAAAUUAAAGGGUAUGUCAACCAAAAAACGUUAUACUCUGCUGCUAUCAAAACUCUUUUUUCUUGCAGUGAAUCAUAUAAGGACGAGAUAUAAUGAAGUGUCACUUCAUAAAUAUAGUGCUAAGUCGGUGGUCUAUCAGUUUCGUUUUAACUGAUCAUGAAUUCGUGAUCUUAUAAUAGGAUUCUCAUGUAGUGUUUUCGUUUUGGUUGACAUCCUAAAGUGUGAGAUAACUCAAAUAAGUAUAGAUGCACUACGUUAAAGACAACCAAUACAUUCUUCUGGAGUGUUUAUCUUCCCACUUUUCUAUAUAUUUUUGAUAAAAUAUUGAAUAUAACAAUGUUAGUAGAAUUGAGAGUUCUCUGGAAGUUCCACUGCCUUUAGGUUCCGAUUACGUGUGCCACUCUUGCUAUAGCUUUAACGCUGUGGUCGCUCAACGUGAACGACAUUGUGCCUUCGUAUCUCUCAUUUAAGAAAGAUGAUAAUCAUUUGAUGUGCAUACACGUAUCUAAUUUCAUUAUAACGACAGUAAUAUUGUGUAACACAUUUAGAUAACGGCACGCAACAAUGAAAAUAAUAGACUCUUCAGACCAAAUUUAUUAAUUAUUACUUGGGAUAGCAUCGGAGUAUUAGUUUUAAUAAGAUCCCACAUGUUAACAAUUUAUGGGAAUCUCAAUAUACGAAGAAUUAUAACUUUUUUUUUGUCAGCAAAGAGUUAUAAACUUUUAAAAUUGUAUUUAAAAUAUGUUUUAACAAUAGUGUCCAAAAUAUUUAAACCUUUAAGAAUGUUAAAAUGUGAUAUAAUGUCAAUCUAAAUUAUAAUAUACAUAGUUUAUAGUUGUUUAUUAAAUACACAAUAGAUAACAAACAUUUCACCUACCAUAAUAUUUUUCACUAUAAAUAACUCCUUUUUGUAGCCUCACUUCGCUCAUUCCAAACAAUCAAUUCAUUUGCAUUGUGUGCAAGCUUUCAGUUUUGUUUCUUCACCUUCCCAAACUCUUCUCAAAGUCGCAAACCUUUAUCGAAGCAAAUUAUUUUAAAAAGAAGAACCAACCUCCCUAAGAAUGAAGAUGAAGUUGGCUGUCGUUCAAUUUUUCAUUAUCUCUCUUCUCCUCUCAUCUUCUUUGUUUAUGCUUUCAAACGCAGAUUCAUGUAAGUAUACAUAAUUCAUUUCAUUAUUUAGAUAAAUAUUUAUUUGAAUCUCACUGUCUAGAUUUAUAUUUGGAAUGAUACAUGAACUAGCACCAUGCAAUGGAAAAUGCAAUGCGAGAUGUUCAAAGGCCGGAAGACAAGAUCGGUGUCUCAAGUAUUGCAAUAUAUGUUGCGAGAAGUGUGAUGAUCAUUGUGUUCCUUCAGGCACAUAUGGAAACAAAGAUGAGUGUCCUUGUUACCGCGAUACGAAGAACUCCAAUGGCAAACCCAAAUGUCCUUGAACAUGACUUGAAGAUCAUCCUCUCAUAGACAUCAUAUCUUUAUAUACACACAAAUAUUUACAAUUGUUGUUGACACAUGAAAUAAUGAGUUUGAUAUAUUCCUACGUAUGAAAAAUGUGUAAGCUCCUGACAAUAAACGAAAUAAUUAUAAUUAGUUAUAUACUAAAGGUGAAGUUUGUGUAUGUAUAUAUGUAUGAAGUACACAUAGUAGGUUAAUGAAAACAAUAUAUUGUAGCAAAAGUUUAUUACCAUGACAAGAUCAGAUUAAGGUGAUGAUUGUUUUGCUAGUUUUCAGAUUUUGGUUUUUGCUUUUUGCUUUUUAGAUUUUAGUUUUUAGUUUUUGGUUUUUGUCUUUGUAGUGGAUUUUAGUUUUUUGAAAAAAAAACAUGAAUGGUUGUUUUAGAUUUUAGUUUUUGGUUUUUAUUUUUUUUUUAAAUUAAUAAAAUGAAAAAUAUUAAUAAUAGUAAAAUUUUUAUUCUGUAAAAAUAAAAAAUAGAUGACAAAAAAGAAAUGCUAUUAUCAACAAUUAACAUGUGUUGAUUAGUUAAAAAAACAUACGUAAGUUGGAUCAUGAAUUUUUUAUUUGUAUUAAAAAAUAAUUGUAGUUUUUUAAAAAACAAAACUAAAAAAUAUUGGAUUUUGGUUUUUGAUUUUAGAUUUUUUAUUUCGAAAUUUUAAAUUUUGCUUAUUAGAUUUUAUUUUUCUAAAUUUUGAUUAAUGUUUUCUUUUAUUUUUUUCUGCUAUUUUUAAAAUGUUUUAACUUAUAAAUUGAUUUUUAAAAACAAACUUAAAUUACUACAAGAAUAUAUCACAAAUUUUCAAUAAAUAAUAUAUAUUAUUAAUAAAACAUGUAAACUUUACAUAAAAGUAAAAUUUAAAUAAUUAAUUUAAUUUUAUAGACAAGUUUUAGAAAUGUUCUUAUUAGAAAUUUAUUUUUGUAUUAUAUAUAUCAAACAAAUGCUUUUUACUGAAUCUUAUUUGUUUAUAGUAGUUAUUGUUUUAUUUGUUUUCCUGUCUUAGUGCAUUAAUAUAGCAAAAUUUUAAUUAGAAAGGAAACAAUUGAAAAACUGUAGUUAAAUUUUAAAAAAAAUCAUAAAAUUUUGGAUUUUGGUUUUUUCUUUGUAAAAGACAGUUAUUUGAAAGAAAGAAAACUAGUUUCCCUAGAUUAUAAGAAAUCUAUUACUCUAAAAGUUUGAUUGUCUAAAAAUGGUUUUAAAAAAAAAACACAAGGCAAAAACUAAUUCAAAAACUGCAAACAAUUACACGAACCAUCGAAACAGGAUGGUGGAGAAGUUUGCUUUACUAUGGUCUUGAGUCUCGAUGUAACACGUUUGCAAUAUGGCGUGACAUGUAAGUCAAUUGCAAUAUAUAUAUUAUUUAUCAGUCACAACAACACAUCACAGCUAGAUGAUGGCAAACAUUAACAAAAUGACACAAGUCUCAGGAAGUGAAGAUAAAAUGUCUUAGAUAUAUAACUGGCUCAAGAAAAGAAAGUUUUUCAUUGAAAAUUAAUGUCUACUUUGAAAGUCUUCAGUAACUUUUGCGCAAACCCCAAAACAAACAAAAUUAUCUAAGAAAACAAGAAGAGAAACGUCUACUACCCUCUUAGCUCUGAGCUCAAUCGAAUUCAUCAUCUCACCAUAAGGAGAAG